UACGCACGGUCCAAACGUUAUUCGGAAUCACUGGGCUUAAAGGGUGCGUAGGCGGGCCCGUCAGUCAGGGGUGAAAUCCCACGGCCCAACCGUGGAAGUGCCUCUGAUACUGCGGGCCUGGAGGGGGAUAGGGGCGUGCGGAACUUCCGGUGGAGCGGUGAAAUGCGUAGAUAUCGGAAGGAACACCGGUGGCGAAAGCGGCGCGCUGGAUCCCUACUGACGCUGAGGCACGAAAGCCAGGGGAGCAAACGGG
rnacentral:rRNA from 1 species